UGUCCCCAGAAUGUGUUUGUGAAGUUUCAGCUCAAAAUACCCCACAGAUCAUUUAUUAUAGCUUGUCAAAUUUGCCCCUAUUUGGGUCUGAGCAAAAACACACCGUUUUUGUGUGUGUCUCUUUAAAUGCAAAUGAGCUGCUGCUCCCGGCCCCCCUUUCCAGAAGAGGGUGGAGCUUUAACAGCUUGUGCGUCGGUUGCUCAACAACAACAAAGCUGGAGAAUCUCACGCAGCCAAAAUGAGGAUCGUCAGUAACAGUGUUCAACCUUACAUUGUUCAAACCGGAGUCGGACACUGAUGGAGAGACUUAGGAAGAAGUUACAACUUUUAGAAUGAAACUGGACAUUUCUGAAUAAAUGUAUGUAGCUGCUGUGGAGUUCAACUCAUCGACUAGCAUGUGCCGUCAUGUUAAUCGACCCUGGUUUGUGAAGCAGUCCGGUGUAAAAUGACAGCAUGGCAACAACACUCUACUACAACAACACUUCCUCUUCUCUAAAGCAGCCCGACAUGGCCUCACCCCCUUUGUUGCAUGUUCCUGGAGCAGGGUUUAUGUAAAUUUUGGGGUUUGUGAUUCACCUACAUGGGAAGAAGCUCGUUGUAGUCCCUACCAGCCAUUUGUUGUAGUCCUUAAAAAGCGAUUUCUAAAAAUAUCUCCCUUUGCAAUGAACUUUGAGCAUCGUAACUUUGCAGAUGUUGUUUAUGCUCAAACAGCAACAUUACACACUAACUAAAGAAUUUUGUAUCUUAGUAGAAUUUUUGUACAAUUUGAGACAUUGUUGAGAAACAUGAAACAUCUGAGAAUCCUUCCAUUGAAAAUCACUCCAUCUGAUCUCACUGCUGUCAAAGAGAAACAACUGAGAUAGUAAAGAGAUCUCAUUUGAGAUUCUUCUUUCUUACAUUGGUACUGCAGAGAAAAAUAAAAAUAAGAGCUUUUACAAAAAAAAAAAAAAAAAAAAAGCAUCUCUUUUGCUUUUCACUAAAUUUAGACAUCAAAAAAUUAAUAUAACUGAAAGAGAUUGAGGCAGAAGCAAAGUUUUGGUUAUCUGCCAUCACAUUAGCUAAUUUUAGAUUGUGACAGAACAAAUAGGACAAAAGGAAAAAAGGAGGCAGGCCUUUCAUACCAGAGGCUAUCUAUCAUUAAAAACCCUACUGGGUAUAAAAAUAUCCCUGAGCAACAAAACUGUCAUUGGUCCUGUAGGCUUGUCAUUUAUCAAACUCUGGCCAAUUGUUGUGAGGCCAGGAGGGAAAAUGGGAAUUCUGGGAGACAUUUAUCCUGUUUUGGGGCAGGAUGCUGUUUUUGUCUCUCUCUCUCUCUUUCUUCUUCCUCUGGUUUGAUGUUAGUGAUUUCUCUUCACAGGUAUCUAGAGUGAGAAGCAGAAACCCAAGGGAAAAUAUGACACCAGCAGAAUGGCUGAUAUGGUGUUAGAUGCCUACAUGACUACAUGACUACUUUAUGAAAAAAGAGACUGCAUUUAUCAUGGAUACCUGAAGCCUGAUCUGAAGAUACAGUAACAUCCAACCAUGUGCCGCCUUUUUGCGUCAAAUCUCAAAUCUCGAGGCUUGAUGCAAAAUUUCCACCAUCAUAUAAUUCAAAGAGCUUUCAGGGCUCAAUCCAGGUGUCUACACUACAGAACAGAAAGGAAAAGAGUGGACAACUGUCCAAAGGUAAUAUUUAGUGUGCAUUAGCCUGUCC